GCGGCCGUGGUGGAACCGGUAGACACGCAGCUUUGAGGGGGCUGUGGAAGCAAUUCCGUGUGCGUUCAAGUCGCAUCGGCCGCACCA
rnacentral:tRNA from 3 species